GCCAGUGUGACAUAGCGGUUUGAGUGUUGGAUUACGACUCUGGCGACUAGGGUUCAAUUCCCAGCUUGGCCA